rnacentral:tRNA from 1 species
AGGUGUAUAGCUCAGUGGUAGAGCACGUGCCUAACAAGCACAAGGUCCUGGGUUCAAUCCCCAGUACCUCCA